UACGUAGGUGGCAAGCGUUAUCCGGAUUUAUUGGGCGUAAAGCGGGUGCAGACGGCUUUUCAAGUCAGAUGUAAAAUCUCCUGGCUUAACUGGGAGGUACCAUUUGAUACUGUUAAGCUAGAGGGCAAUAGAGGGAGGUAGAAUUCCCGGUGUAGUGGUGAAAUGCGUAGAUAUCGGGAGGAAUACCAGUGGCGAAGGCGGCCUCCUAGGUUGUUUCUGACGUUCAUGCCCGAAGGUGUGGGGAGCAAACAGG
rnacentral:rRNA from 1 species